rnacentral:rRNA from 1 species
GAGGCUUAACCAUACAACACCCAAGAAGUGUUCUAAGGCUUGUAGCAAAUCGAAGAACUACUAACUAAUUCAGUGAUAGCGAAGCCAACAGGCAACUCGUUAUUCACGUCAGCUUUCUGGAUUGAAGAAUUUGCCUGGCGGCCAUAGCGCCGUGGAACCACCUGAUCCCAUGCCGAACUCAGAAGUGAAACGCGGUAGCGCCGAUGGUAGUGUGGCAUUCGCCAUGCGAGAGUAGGACACUGCCAGGC